GAGAAUUUUUCACAAUGGGCGCAAGCCUGAUGGAGCGACGCCGCGUGGGGGAUGAAGGGCUUCGGCUCGUAAACCCCUGUCAGUUGCGAACAAACCUCCGGGGAUAACACCCUCGGAGUUGAUGGUAGUGACAGAGGAAGGGACGGCUAACUCUGUGCCAGCAGCCGCGGUAAUACAGAGGUCCCGAGCGUUGUUCGGAUUUACUGGGCGUAAAGGGUGCGUAGGCGGUGAGGCCAGUCUGAUGUGAAAUCCCCGGGCUCAACCAGGGAACGGCAUCGGAAACUGCUUGACUAGAGUGUUGGAGGGGGGACUGGAAUUCCCGGUGUAGCAGUGAAAUGCGUAGAUAUCGGGAGGAACGCCAGUGGCGAAGGCGAGUCCCUGGACAACAACUGACGCUGAGGCACGAAAGCUAGGGGAGCAAACA
rnacentral:rRNA from 1 species